GACGAACCGUGCGAACGUUAUUCGGAAUCACUGGGCUUAAAGCGCGUGUAGGCGGACGGCACGUCGGUCGCUGAAAUCCCCCGGCUCAACCGGGGAACGGGCGCCGAUACGACCGCCCUGGAGGGGCGUAGGGGGACCUGGAACUUCCGGUGGAGCGGUGAAAUGCGUUGAGAUCGGAAGGAACGCCCGUGGCGAAAGCGAGGUCCUGGACGCUUACUGACGCUGAGACGCGAAAGCCAGGGAGCGAACGGG
rnacentral:rRNA from 1 species